AACGAACGCUGGCGGCAGGCCUAACACAUGCAAGUCGAGCGAGGUAGCAAUACCUAGCGGCGGACGGGUUAGUAACGCGUGGGAACGUGCCCAAAGGUACGGAAUAGCCUCGGGAAACUGAGAGUAAUACCGUAUGUGCCCUUCGGGGGAAAGAUUUAUCGCCUUUGGAUCGGCCCGCGUUGGAUUAGGUAGUUGGUGGGGUAAUGGCCUACCAAGCCGACGAUCCAUAGCUGGUUUGAGAGGAUGAUCAGCAACACUGGGACUGAGACACGGCCCAGACUCCUACGGGAGGCAGCAGUGGGGAAUCUUAGACAAUGGGCGCAAGCCUGAUCUAGCCAUGCCGCGUGGACGAUGAAGGCCUUAGGGUUGUAAAGUCCUUUCAGAUGGGAAGAUAAUGACGGUACCAUCAGAAGAAGCCCCGGCUAACUCCGUG
rnacentral:rRNA from 1 species